AGGACGUUUUCUGUUGUCUUCUUUAAGAUCUAAUCAAAUAUUAGAUGCAAUACAUUAUAUACAUAUUCUAAGUUUUAAAUAAUGCUGCUUUUUUCACAAUGUGACAACAUAUAAUAAUAUAUAAUAAUAAUAAUAAUUAAAGCUAAUACAUAUAGAAAAUUGCUAGUGCAAAGCAUUAUCCAAUAUUUGAAUAUAUAUUAUAGAUAUAGCCGUUGAAAAUGAUAUUAUGGACAUUUGAUUGCAUCUAGACACAAUUACAUUUGUUGUAUAAAUACAAGUUGCUGUGAUAUUGAAGUACGUUUUCCAUUUACUCUAGAUCAACAUAUAUAUCUUAACUGUGACAAUUUUCAUAUUAUGAUUGUAAUUCCAGUAACUCUUUUAUUCUUCUGACAGAAAAUUCUACACCCUCCAUUGCUUCUUUUGAAACCUACAAACGUCAAAAUGAAUGAUAAUCGUAUGGCGAUACAUCGUAAUUAAAUUCAUUUGUAUAAACAAGAAAAAAAUGUUUACAUGUAGGAAAUUGAAAAAUCCGUGUGGCAGAUCUGGUAAUAUAUCCAGCGUAACAUUAUUGCCAAGCGAGCGAAGCUUUCUCGCAAACAUGACGCAGUCAUCGAGACAAGGAUCAAACUCUACCGUCUAAAAACAAACUGCUGUGUAUUAUAUGUUCCAAAAUAUUCAAUCUUAAUCGUAGUAACAAAAGUUAAAACACGUACCAGUAUCUUCAUAGGUGGUAUGUGGGCUAACAUAUCGUCUGACGCGAAAUAAGGACUCAUAUACAUGUCCCUCGGGGCCAUCCGAACAGAGAGAAAGACCAUGACGAUUUUUCGCUCUGUCCCGAAACAUUAUCAUCUCUGCUGACAUUUCCAUUUUCUGCAGGCGACGACAUUGAAGCGGUGCCGGAAUUUCGGGUCGUUAGCUGAAUUGUAUAUACCAUCAACUUCGGUUAAGCUGACAGAAUUUAACGUUGAAUCGGACGGUAGAGAUACUAAUUUAUGCGCGCCAUUCGCGUCGUCUCCAUUUGGACUCAGGGCUAAUGCUAUAAGGUCACUUUCGCUCACUUCGGCAAAAGAUUCUGUGUCUGAUUUGGUGCAUUCUUCAUUCUCGCUUUCUCUGUGGGGGAUAAAUUGUAUUUGUAUUUGCAUUGCAUUGUAUAAUCAUCGCAUCUACAAUAAAAUAUGUAUAUGACAAUGUA